UAACAGCUUGACUCUGGCUGAAAACUUGGCUACUAUUGAAUCAAUAUACAUGUAAGCCCAGGCAACCCCGCAAAUGUAUAAACCUAAAGGGUACAUUAAUUACAUCAAAUUUCUUAUACGUAAUAACACGCCACAGUAAUUAAUCCUAAUAUUCUGUAAACCCAGGAAUUGGAUAUCAAAUUUAGGGUUGGCAAAAUUCGUGCCAGCUGCCGCGGUUAGACGACAAACUCAAGCCAACUAAAACACGACUAGACACAUGAUGUACUAAACAGCUUCCAAGGUCUAAUUUGCAGCCCCCGAAUCUAAAACAUCAAAUUUUGUGAAAGUAUUAGCUAAAACACGGAUUAGAUACCCGUCUAUUUAUACAAUAAACUAAAGUCGAAAAAUACGAACCACAGUUUAAAACUCAAAGAUUUUGGCGGUGUCUUAUCAAACCAGGGGAACCUGUCUCAUAACUCGAUAAUCCACGAAUAUCUUACCUCUCCUUGACCCUCAGCUUGUGUACUGCCGUCGUAAGCACACCUCUAAAAGUACUUUAGUGUGCAACCAUGAAUUAUCCUCAUUUACGUCAGGUCAAAGUGCAGCUCAUGGAGAGGUGACGAUGGGUUACACUCUCAACAAAGAUACAAAACAUAUUUUAAACAAUAUUUAAAGGUGGACUUGGCUGUAAUUCUGAUCCAAGUCACAAUGAAGCCGAAUCUAAGACAUGCACACAUCGCCCGUCACUCUUGCCUAAAGGCGAGAUAAGUCGUAACAAAGUAGGUGUAACGGAAGUUGCACCUGU
rnacentral:ncRNA from 1 species